UGGGGAAUUUUGGACAAUGGGCGAAAGCCUGAUCCAGCAAUGCCGCGUGUGUGAAGAAGGCCUUCGGGUUGUAAAGCACUUUUGUCCGGAAAGAAAUCCUUGGCUCUAAUACAGUCGGGGGAUGACGGUACCGGAAGAAUAAGCACCGGCUAACUACGUGCCAGCAGCCGCGGUAAUACGUAGGGUGCAAGCGUUAAUCGGAAUUACUGGGCGUAAAGCGUGCGCAGGCGGUUUGCUAAGACCGAUGUGAAAUCCCCGGGCUCAACCUGGGAACUGCAUUGGUGACUGGCAGGCUAGAGGUAUGGCAGAGGGGGGUAGAAUUCCACGUGUAGCAGUGAAAUGCGUAGAGAUGUGGAGGAAUACCGAUGGCGAAGGCAGCCCCCUGGGCCAAUACUGACGCUCAUGCACGAAAGCGUGGGGAGCAAACAGGAUUAGAUACCCUGGUAGUCCACGCCCUAAAACGAUGUCAACUAGUUGUUGGGGAUUCAUUUCCUUAGUAACGUAGCUAACGCGUGAAGUUGACCGCCUGGGGAGUACGGUCGCAAGAUUAAAACUUAAAUGAAUUGACGGGGUCAUA
rnacentral:rRNA from 1 species